AAGCAAUUUGCUCAUAGCCAUAGCUUUCUUGUGAAAGUAGGAUAUUAACCCAGGUGUCUUGGUGCUGGAGAACAGAACUGGCCAGAGUCCAUCCUGUCUCCCACCGGCAUCCCAUUACGAAAUGAACACAGAAAAGGCAGGUCUGCAAUGCCAACAUCUAGUAUCUAUCCCAAAGACCAGGGAGAAAGGAAGGAAAGAUUCUGGUUCUGUCCUCUUCCCCAAGGCAAGGCUGGCUGCCCUACCAACAGAGGCAAAGAGAAGAGUGUGCAAGGCUGGCUGCCCUCCCAACAGAGGCAAAGAGGAGUGUGUGUUGAAAUAUCCAUUGAAUCCCUGAGACAACUGGAUCCUGGCCCAUUGAAUCAUAAACUCAAAUCUCACAUCAUAACCCCAAAUGACCUGUUACUCACCAUGUGGCCCAGCUGUCUUCAAACUCACCAGCCUCCUGCCUUAGCCUUCUAAAUGCUUGGAUUACAGGCAUGACCCACCAUAACUGGCUUUGUUUUAGUUUCAGAGAAGAUGAAACUGAUGUGCGUCAAAAAGUUAUGGAGGCUGGGAAGACCUAGAAUGUGGCAUCACUAUUUGCUGAAAUUUUUAAUAUAAUGCCUCUUAGCCUGGUUUGGAGAAAACGUCACAGAGAGGCACCAUUUGUUGUGGUUUUACAUGAAAAUUUUCUGACCCUGAACCUGGUUUGAUGGAAAUCAUUUGCUGAGGAAACCAUGCCGAUUACCGACCGAGCUCUCAAUGGAAAAAUGCAGUCGGCGUGAACCACGCACGAACACAGCAGAGAAAGAAGAAAACACACACCACGAGGAACCCUAAUAGGACAAUACAUUAUAAGUCACAGUGCUACGGAGAAACCCAGUAGCCACAUGGAAGCAGAGACCAUGCAUAUGCAUCUACUCCGCAGCUCUGUGAAUGUCAGCAGCUCCCACGGACUGGAGAUCCCGUGAGAUCCCGUGAGAUCUCACCCAUAGCCUCAUGGUACAUCCACUUGGUGUGCUGGGAGAGUCAGGAUGAGGACCUGAGAAGAACAGCAGCUUGAACCUGACUUCAUUUAACAGCCCACUGCCCUCUUGCCAAGAACCCAUCACAGACCUUCCCAGAAGAGAGGGAUGAGCCUCACCUAUGAAUAAGUCCUCAGAAACUCAAAUUUGAUUCUAAUGGAUUGUUUUCUCAGAAAGACUGAGCAUGUCCCCCCACAUCUCUGUCAUUUCCCACAGUAGUAACCUCUGCAGAUGCCACAUAGAAAACAAAACAAAACAAAAAAACAUGAGGUUGGUGGGCAGAUAGGCAGGGUAUAAACAAACAGCCUUGUAACCCAGAAGCUGUGUGAUAUACAGUAAACUUCACAACACUGAAAAGAUGUCCUAUCUGUUAAAAUGGGGUAAUAACAACUACCCGAAUGUUUAGGAAUAGAACUUCAAUAAAUGAUACAUUUUAUAGUACAGCAGACCAUCCUGUAAAGGUUUCAUCCUUCACUGUGGUGAUAAAUAUCCCAAACCACAUUGAAAAGCAUUGCAUCUACAUUUAUCUACACUGUAACUGUACUGUAAAUCAUGGGGGAGGGGAGAAUCAUAAAAACACCACCUGUCACCGUGUCAUUAAAGCAAGUUGGAAGUGAUACUUACAGAAACACAGCAAGAGCACCCCCAGUCACACAGUUCAAUCUCUUAGCAAGCGUUUUCUUUCUAGCCCAGUGGUUCUCAGUUUGGAAUUUUUGGCACUGCCUAGAGAUAGUUUUGUUGUUAAAACUGAGAAAAGAGCCGGGCGUGGUGGCACACGCCUUUAAUCCCAGCACUCAGGAGGCAGAGGCAGG
rnacentral:lncRNA from 1 species